GUGCUUAGAUUUUUUUGAAAACUUAAGCUGAAAACUUUAAUUUAGAUUGCUAGCUUCUUUGCCCUAAUAACCUUGAUUGGGACUGAAUGGUGUUGGCUCUAAAUUUCAUUUUACCCCAGCUCCAUUUUCUCAUUAGUCAAUGAGAUUAAUAAUAUGAAUUGUGGCUUUAAUAAAAGAAUGGGCAACAAAUGUCGACUAGAUUAUUAAAAAUGCCUCCUCAUUGAUUUAUCGAUUGGUGUGAAAUAUGUGCCGUGUUCAAAGAAGUUAGAUCAUUUGUGGGUCUCCUAUUAACCACUGUAGUUUUCUGGCCUGGAUAGGACUUUGGAUGUGUUAGCUUUUUUUUUUUUUAACGAAAUUUCUGGUGGGAAAUUUUCAUAGCAGUUUUUGCUAUGAAAAUUGGAAGGUGUUUUUUUUUUUCCCCGGAGGGUCACCUUGUGCUGACACAAAAACGGAUAAACAUCUUUAAAAUAUGAUGGAUUACAUAAUGGCUUUUCUGCAGAGAGAGCCAAACUGUAUAGGCAACCCAUCAUGCAGAUCUUUUUGCCAACAGCUACUCUUUUAAAUAUGGGUUAGUUUAUCUUGCGGUUUAGUGCUUAUGAUGAGGGUGAGGGAGGAAUGAGAAAACUGGGCUUUGUGCCUUUAAGAGAAACCACGUGGCCUCCAAAUUCACAUGCAGGUCUUAAGGUGCUGAUCUUUAUUUUUAAAUGCUCAUUUCAGGUGCGUAAUUCGUUUGUUUUUCUUUAGCAGCAUUAAUUUGUAAAUGUAAUUGAAGCUUUGGAUGCUAAGAAGUGUAGCUGUAGGCCAUUUUAAGAGCUUUUUAAAAUGGAUAUUUUCGUGCAAUGUUUGUGAUCUCCGGACCCAUAGCAAAUAGAAUGUUGCUCAGUUUUAGGUUGAAGAUGGAAUUGGCUUUUAGUGGAAGAAGGGCUAAAACCUCAUCAGGGAAAGAGACAUGGCUCUCUGGGGACAACUGGGGAGUGCAGAAGCCCAGCACCGAAAACAAAACUACCUUGUCUCAGAUCCAUAUCCAUCAUGGACCAGAAUCUUCAGAGAAGGGCCUACAGUUUUAAUGUCCUUGACUUGCAAGCAGAAGCUGCACUCAGUGUUAGAGGUGAGUUAAAAGAAUUCUGUCUUUACUUGGAUGGAUCAUCAUUAUGGAGGGGCAACAUUAUAAGCAGCUUGGGAGGUGUUCUGUCUCACAUUUUGUCCUCCAGCAGCAGGGAGAGCUCUUUAUUGAAUGAAUAA
rnacentral:lncRNA from 1 species